ensembl:snRNA U6 U6 spliceosomal RNA
GUGCUCUCUUUGGCAGCAUAUAUACUAAAAUUGGAACGAUACAGGAAAGAUUCGCAUGGCCCCCGCGCGAGGAUAACACGCAAAUUCGUGAAGCGUUCCAGAUUUUU